rnacentral:rRNA from 1 species
GGGGAAACCCAGUGCAAUCCGUUGCACUAUCGUUAACUGAAUACAUAGGUUAACGAGGCGAACCGGGGGAACUGAAACAUCUAAGUACCCCGAGGAAAAGAAAUCAACCGAGAUUCCCCCAGUAGCGGCGAGCGAACGGGGAGCAGCCCGGAGUCUGAAUCAGCUUGUGUGUUAGUGGAACGGUCUGGAAAGUCCGACGGUACAGGGUGAUAGUCCCGUACACGAAAGCACACUUGCUGUGAACUCGAAGAGUAGGGCGGGACACGUGGUAUCCUGUCUGAAUAUGGGGGGACCAUCCUCCAAGGCUAAAUACUCCUGACUGACCGAUAGUGAACCAGUACCGUGAGGGAAAGGCGAAAAGAACCCCGGCGAGGGGAGUGAAAAAGAACCUGAAACCGUGUACGUACAAGCAGUGGGAGCCUCUUUAUGGGGUGACUGCGUACCUUUUGUAUAAUGGGUCAGCGACUUAUAUUCUGUAGCAAGGUUAACCGUAUAGGGGAGCCGAAGGGAAACCGAGUCUUAACUGGGCGUUAAGUUGCAGGGUAUAGACCCGAAACCCGGUGAUCUAGCCAUGGGCAGGUUGAAGGUUGGGUAACACUAACUGGAGGACCGAACCGACUAAUGUUGAAAAAUUAGCGGAUGACCUGUGGCUGGGGGUGAAAGGCCAAUCAAACCGGGAGAUAGCUGGUUCUCCCCGAAAGCUAUUUAGGUAGCGCCUCGUGAACUCAUCUUCGGGGGUAGAGCACUGUUUCGGCUAGGGGGCCAUCCCGGCUUACCAACCCGAUGCAAACUACGAAUACCGAAGAAUGUUAUCACGGGAGACACACGGCGGGUGCUAACGUCCGUCGUGAAGAGGGAAACAACCCAGACCGCCAGCUAAGGUCCCAAAGUCAUGGUUAAGUGGGAAACGAUGUGGGAAGGCACAGACAGCCAGGAUGUUGGCUUAGAAGCAGCCAUCAUUUAAAGAAAGCGUAAUAGCUCACUGGUCGAGUCGGCCUGCGCGGAAGAUGUAACGGGGCUAAACCAUG